rnacentral:rRNA from 1 species
GACGAACGCUGGCGGCGUGCUUAACACAUGCAAGUCGAACGGAAAGGCCCUGCAUUUGUGGGGUGCUCGAGUGGCGAACGGGUGAGUAACACGUGAGUAACCUGCCCUUGACUUUGGUAUAACUUCAGGAAACUUGGGCUAAUACCUGAUAGGAGCUCCUGCUGCAUGGUGGUGGUCGGAAAGUUUCGGCGGUUGGGGUUGGACUCGCGGCUUAUCAGCUUGUUGGUGGGGUAGUGGCUUACCAAGGCUGUGACGGGUAGCCGGCCUGAGAGGGAGACCGACCACAUUGGGAGUGAGAGACGGACCAGACACAUACGGGAGGGAGGAGUGAGGAAUAUUGAACAAUGGGCGGGAGCAAGAUGGAGCAACGCAGCGUGCGGGAUGACGGCAUGCGGGUGGGAAACCGCUUUCGCCUGUAACGAAGGGUGAGUGACGGAAAUGGGGAAAGAAGCACCGGCUAACUACGU